rnacentral:rRNA from 1 species
AUUGAACGCUGGCGGCAGGCCUAACACAUGCACGUCGAACGAGUGGCGGACGGGUGAGUAAUGUCUGGGAAAAUGCCUGAUGGAGGGGGAUAACUACUGGAAACGGUAGCUAAUACCGCAUACCAUCAGAUGUGCCCAGGUGGGAUUAGCUAGUAGGUGGGGUAAUGGUUCACCUAGGCGACUAUCCCUAGCUGGUCUGAGAGGAUGACCAGGCAGACUGGACCUGUGCCACGUUCCAGACUCCUACGGGAGUCAGCAGUGGGGAAUAUUGCACAAUGGGCGCUAGCCUGAUGCAGCCAUGCCGCGUGUAUGAAGAAGGCCUUCGGGUUGUAAAGCUCUUUCAGCGAGGAGGCGUUACUCGCAGAAGAAGCACCGGCUAACUCCGUGCCAGCAGCCGCGGUAAUUC